GACGAACGCUGGCGGCGUGCUUAACACAUGCAAGUCGAACGAAGAGCGAUGGAAGCUUGCUUCUAUCAAUCUUAGUGGCGAACGGGUGAGUAACGCGUAAUCAACCUGCCCUUCAGAGGGGGACAACAGUUGGAAACGACUGCUAAUACCGCAUACGAGCUAAUCUCGGCAUCGAGGAUAGAUGAAAGGUGGCCUCUACAUGUAAGCUAUCACUGAAGGAGGGGAUUGCGUCUGAUUAGCUAGUUGGAGGGGUAACGGCCCACCAAGGCGAUGAUCAGUAGCCGGUCUGAGAGGAUGAACGGCCACAUUGGGACUGAGACACGGCCCAGACUCCUACGGGAGGCAGCAGUGGGGAAUCUUCCGCAAUGGACGAAAGUCUGACGGAGCAACGCCGCGUGAGUGAUGACGGCCUUCGGGUUGUAAAGCUCUGUUAAUCGGGACGAAAGGCCUUCUUGCGAAUAGUGAGAAGGAUUGACGGUACCGGAAUAGAAAGCCACGGCUAACUACGUG
rnacentral:rRNA from 1 species